rnacentral:rRNA from 1 species
UGUAAAGAGGGAUAGGAGAAUUGGAGGGCAAGUUUGGUGCCAGCAGCCGCGGUAAUACCGACUCCAAGAGUGUGUAUGAGAGAUGCUGCAGUUAAAAAGUCCGUAGUCAUAGAAGGGCAAAGAGAGAUGCGAGGUCUCACAGUGCGAUGAUGGAGGAGCCGAUGGGGAACAUAGUAUACCAGGGCGAGAGAUGAAAUGCCAAGACCCCUGGUGGACUGAGCGAGGCGAAGGCGAUGUUCUUGUAGGCAUUCGGUGAUCAAGGACGAAGGCUGGAGUAUCGAAAGUGAUUAGAUACCGCAGUAGUUCCAGCAGUAAAAGAUGCCGACAUGCUCAUUGGACACAGUGGGCAGGGAGAAAUCUUAGAGUUCGGGCUCUGGGGAUAGUAUGCUCGCAAGGGUGAAAAUUAAAGAAAUUGACGGAGCUACACCACAAGGAGUGGAUUGUGCGGCUUAAUUUGACUCAACGCGAGGAAACUUACCAGGGCCAAGUAUUGUGUAGAAACGAGCAAUACAGGAGUGGUGCAUGGUCGUUGGAAAUUGAUGGGAUGACUUUGACCUUAAAUGGUUGAAUGAGUGAGAUCUUUUGGACAUGUUCCGCACGGAACAGGAAGGAAAAGGCUAUAACAGAUCCGAGAUGCCCUCAGAUGCCCUGGGCUGCACGCGCAAUACAAUAGCAGGUAGAGAGAGAGACAGGAAGGUGCUCAGAUGGACUAUGUGCUGUAAGGCACAUACGAAAGAGGAAUUCCUAGUAAGUGUGUAUCAACAAUGGAUAUUGA